rnacentral:lncRNA from 1 species
ACAAGGAGUCGCACUUGUACCUUUGCUGGGAGCCUCCGCAUUUGGAGCCAUCAUGUGACUCGGGGAGCUAUUUUUAGCCUCCCCCAGCCCUGGGUUGUAGGAAGAAUGAUUUGAUGAAAAUACUAAACUCAUUAAAAGCCCGGGGGAGGGGGAGGGGGAGGGGAGGAAGGGCUGCCAGAGCAGGGAGGCUGCAGCCACCACGACGUCAGCCCAGGCUGAGCAGCACAGAGGUGAUGACGGCUGGGACCUGGCAUUUCCACAGGGCCUGUGCCCUGCGGAGGAUAAAGGAGGACUUUCUUUUUAUUGUGUUCGUGGUGAAGAUUCAGACUCCAGAGUCACCCACACGUGCAUUCCAGUCCCAGCUCGGCCACAUACUAGCCGUGUGUUCCUGGGAAUCCACUUCUCCUUCCUGAGCCUCAGUUUCCUCAUCUGUUAAGUGAAGACAAUUAUAGUUGCUCUCUUGCUUCACUGCCUCCAGGAUGAAAUAGGAUUUUUUGUGGCAAGCACCCAGCAUAGUGCGGGGCCUGCAGUAAAGCUCACUCAAGGCUGGUUAGUAGUGUUGAGUAAAUAGAAAAAGCAUUUUGCGGGCUUGCUCCCCCUGCAUGCACACCAGGACCUUUCGUUCCCUGCCCAGCGUUCCCUGCGUGCAUUAGGUUUCCAAGCAGGCGUCCUGUGGUCUCAGGAGCCUGCUGUCUGCACCAUCUGCCCGGCACAUCCUCUCCUCUACAGCCCCCUCCAUCAGUGUUCACUGCCUGGCAUCUCCUGAGGGGGUCUCAGCUGUGCCCCCAAUACCAAGAUGGCUGAGUGGGCCCCAACAAGGUGUAUGUGACUCCCAGGAUCUUCAAAGGCUCAAAGUCUCCCAGAACACACCCCAAGAAGCCCCGGAUUCCUGGCUGAAGUUAGGACACACUCCACACCAUCAUUUAUCCAAUGUAUCCAGACCUAAUGUCAUGCUUACACUCACCCUGUGAGGUAGGUAUGAAAAACUGGCCCCAUUUAUAGAUGCAGAAGAAUGAGCUUGGAGAAGAAAGUAAAUUUGUCCAAGGGUCACAGCCACAGGGUGGCAAAGGUAGGAUUAGAACCCAAGCCUAACUACAGGUCCAGGGUGAAGGUCAGGCCCCAUCCUAUGUUAAGCAGACAGCGUGUCCCCUCAUCUCACAGAAAAGGGUGACCUUAGUUUCCACUGCGGCCCCUUCUUCCAAAGGAGUCAGAGCCUGAUGUGGGGUCACAUGGCCUCACACCCAGCCUCCAUACACACACGCAGGGAAGGAUUGCUCAAGACAGACCUAUCAUUCUCUGGGAAAGACACGGUCUUCAGAGUGGAGGAGAGGAGGGCCCCAGGGGGACCAGGCCGUACAGAGAAUCAUUUUUGCCUUGGAAAGACUUCUUAGCAUCAGGGAGCCCAAAUCG